rnacentral:rRNA from 1 species
UCUCCUGGAAACGGGUGGUAAUGCCGGAUGUUCACAUGAGCGCAUGCGAGUGUGGGAAAGGCUUUUUGCGGCAUGGGAUGGGGUCGCGUCCUAUCAGCUUGUUGGUGGGGUAACGGCCUACCAAGGCGUUGACGGGUAGCCGGCCUGAGAGGGCGACCGGCCACAUUGGGACUGAGAUACGGCCCAGACUCCUACGGGAGGCAGCAGUGGGGAAUAUUGCACAAUGGGCGCAAGCCUGAUGCAGCGACGCCGCGUGCGGGAUGGAGGCCUUCGGGUUGUAAACCGCUUUUGUUCAAGGGCAAGGCACGGUUUCGGCCGUGUUGAGUGGAUUGUUCGAAUAAGCACCGGCUAACUACGUGCCAGCAGCCGCGGUAAUACGUAGGGUGCAAGCGUUAUCCGGAUUUAUUGGGCGUAAAGGGCUCGUAGGCGGUUCGUCGCGUCCGGUGUGAAAGUCCAUCGCUUAACGGUGGAUCCGCGCCGGGUACGGGCGGGCUUGAGUGCGGUAGGGGAGACUGGAAUUCCCGGUGUAACGGUGGAAUGUGUAGAUAUCGGGAAGAACACCA